AGUGAACGCUGGCGGUAGGCCUAACACAUGCAAGUCGAACGGCAGCACAGUAAGAGCUUGCUCUUACGGGUGGCGAGUGGCGGACGGGUGAGGAAUACAUCGGAAUCUACUUUUUCGUUGGGGAUAACGUAGGGAAACUUACGCUAAUACCGCAUACGACCUACGGGUGAAAGCAGGGGAUCUUCGGACCUUGCGCGAUUGAAUGAGCCGAUGUCGGAUUAGCUAGUUGGCGGGGUAAAGGCCCACCAAGGCGACGAUCCGUAGCUGGUCUGAGAGGAUGAUCAGCCACACUGGAACUGAGACACGGUCCAGACUCCUACGGGAGGCAGCAGUGGGGAAUAUUGGACAAUGGGCGCAAGCCUGAUCCAGCCAUACCGCGUGGGUGAAGAAGGCCUUCGGGUUGUAAAGCCCUUUUGUUGGGAAAGAAAAGCAGCAGGUUAAUACCCCGCGGUUCUGACGGUACCCAAAGAAUAAGCACCGGCUAACUUCGUG
rnacentral:rRNA from 1 species